rnacentral:rRNA from 1 species
AUUGAACGCUGGCGGCAUGAUUUACACAUGCAAGUCGAACGGUAACAGGCCGCAAGGUGCUGACGAGUGGCGAACGGGUGAGUAAUGCAUCGGAACGUGCCCAGUCGUGGGGGAUAACUACUCGAAAGAGUAGCUAAUACCGCAUACGAUCUAUGGAUGAAAGCGGGGGACCGUAAGGCCUCGCGCGAUUGGAGCGGCCGAUGUCAGAUUAGGUAGUUGGUGGGGUAAAGGCUCACCAAGCCAACGAUCUGUAGCUGGACUGAGAGGACGACCAGCCACACUGGGACUGAGACACGGCCCAGACUCCUACGGGAGGCAGCAGUGGGGAAUUUUGGACAAUGGGCGCAAGCCUGAUCCAGCAAUGCCGCGUGCAGGAAGAAGGCCUUCGGGUUGUAAACUGCUUUUGUACGGAACGAAACGGCUCUGGUUAAUACCCGGGGCUAAUGACGGUACCGUAAGAAUAAGCACCGGCUAACUACGUG